rnacentral:rRNA from 1 species
GAUGAACGCUGGCGGCGUGCUUAACACAUGCAAGUCGAACGGUGAAGGCGGAGCUUGCUCUGCUGGAUCAGUGGCGAACGGGUGAGUAACACGUGAGCAAUCUGCCCCUGACUCUGGGAUAAGCGCUGGAAACGGCGUCUAAUACUGGAUACGAGCUGCGAAGGCAUCUUCAGCAGCUGGAAAGAACUUCGGUCAGGGAUGAGCUCGCGGCCUAUCAGCUUGUUGGUGAGGUAACGGCUCACCAAGGCGUCGACGGGUAGCCGGCCUGAGAGGGUGACCGGCCACACUGGGACUGAGACACGGCCCAGACUCCUACGGGAGGCAGCAGUGGGGAAUAUUGCACAAUGGGCGAAAGCCUGAUGCAGCAACGCCGCGUGAGGGACGACGGCCUUCGGGUUGUAAACCGCUUUUAGCAGGGAAGAAGCGAAAGUGACGGUACCUGCAGAAAAAGCGCCGGCUAACUACGUG